rnacentral:rRNA from 1 species
UACGGAGGGUGCGAGCGUUGUCCGGAAUCAUUGGGCGUAAAGGGCGCGUAGGAUGGCCCGGUCAGUCUUUGGUGAAAGCGCGGGGCUCAACCCUGCGUCGGCCAGGGAUACUGCCGCGGCUCGAGCACUGUAGAGGCAGGCGGAAUUCCGGGUGUAGCGGUGGAAUGCGUAGAGAUCCGGAAGAACACCGAUGGCGAAGGCAGUUC